CAUAAUUAAAAACGUUUUUUUCCUUUACUAAAAUGUAUAUGUAACACCCCGCUUCCCAAAAAGACAUUUUAGAAUUUUUGGGGAGUCAGUGUGUUACUACUAAACUUAAAUUUAAAAGCUUUUCUUUUUAACAAAGCGCCAGAUGCGAAAGAUUUUCAUAAAUAAACAAAUUUCAAUAAAUACUGAAAAUCUAAAAUAAAG